GGAGGAGUGAGUUUGCAGUCAUCAUCCCAUAUAAGGUGUAGAGCUCGAAGAUGUUCUUUGGUUUUCAACUUGGCACAAACUGCAUCUUGUUCAUCAGCCACAUUGUUGAGGCCACGAAUGGGCAUGGGUUUCUGCGGCAUCGGCACAUCCUAGACCAUGUUAUCCUCAGUUCUAAUCCGGCCCUGCCUUCCACUUGCCGGCUCCUCCUUAGGUGCACUUGUUGGGGAGUAUGUUGUCCAGGUAACUUGUGGGUUUAAAAUUUUCAUAUAUAAUCAUAUUGGACAACAAGCCUAAUCGGUAUGUCCAAGAUAUGACCAUCACACCAAAACUUUCUUGUUUGAUUCUUGUGGGUUUAAGAUUUUCAUAUAUAAUCAUAUUGGGCUAGAAGCCUAUGUCUAAGAUAUGAUGUUUGUUCCAGAAUUUUGUUUUUUUU